AUCACUUCUCAGCUUUUUGGCUGAGAUAAUGUGUAGUAUCUGUUCUUACCAUUUUAAUGUCUGAUAACAUCCUCUAUCCAAGGACAAUAUAGUAAAUGGAUUUUUGGAGCAGAGAGAUGGAAUAGGAGCUUGCUCCAUCCAUACAAGCAUCGACCUUGUACCGUAGCAUCUCCAGGAAUGGUGCACCCCCU
ensembl:snRNA U2 U2 spliceosomal RNA